UUUGUGUACUAUCCUUGCGUCAAUUCCACAGCUGUUUCUUACCAUGAGGGUUACCCGUCU
rnacentral:misc_RNA from 1 species